CUUAAAUUGAAGAGUUUGAUCAUGGCUCAGAUUGAACGCUGGCGGCAGGCCUAACACAUGCAAGGCGAGCGAAAACGA
rnacentral:rRNA from 1 species